rnacentral:rRNA from 1 species
UAGUAGGUGAGGUAACGGCUCACCUAGGCGACGAUGGAUAGCCGAGCUGAGAGGCUGAUCGGCCACACUGGAACUGAGACACGGUCCAGACUCCUACGGGAGGCAGCAGGGAAGAAUAUUGUACAAUGGGGGAAACCCUGAUACAGCAACGCCGCGUGAAGGAAGAAGGCCUUCGGGUUGUAAACUUCUGUGAUGGGGGACGAAAAAAAUGACGGUACCCCAAGAGGAAGCCCCGGCAAACUACGUGCCAGCAGCCGCGGUAAUACGUAGGGGGCAAGCGUUGUCCGGAAUCACUGGGCGUAAAGGGCGCGUAGGCGGCCUGUUAAGUUGAAUGUGAAAUCCCCGAGCUCAACUCGGGACGUGCAUUCAAAACUGAUGGGCUUGAGUAUGGUAGAGGUAAGUGGAAUUCCUAGUGUAGCGGUGGAAUGCGUAGAUAUUAGGAGGAACACCAGUGGCGAAGGCGACUUACUGGGCCAUAACUGACGCUGAGGCGCGAAAGCGUGGGGAGCAAACAGGAUUAGAUACCCUGGUAGUCCACGCUGUAAACGAUGAAUACUAGGUGUAGGGGGUAUCGACCCCUUCUGUGCCGCAGCAAACGCAAUAAGUAUUCCGCCUGGGGAGUACGACCGCAAGGUUGAAACUCAAAGGAAUUGACGGGGACCCGCACAAGCAGCGGAGCAUGUGGAUUAAUUCGACGCAACGCGAAGAACCUUACCAGGACUUGACAUCCUCAGAAUCUCCCAGAAACGGGAGAGUGCCUUCGGGAACUGAGAGACAGGUGGUGCAUGGUUGUCGUCAGCUCGUGUCGUGAGAUGUUGGGUUAAGUCCCGCAACGAGCGCAACCCUUAUGUUUAGUUACCAGCGGGUAAUGCCGGGGACUCUAGAUAGACUGCCGGGGAUAACUCGGAGGAAGGUGGGGACGACGUCAAAUCAUCAUGCUCCUUAUGUCCUGGGCUUCACACGUGCUACAAUGGUCGUUACAAAGGGAAGCAACCUCGCAAGGGGAAGCAAAACCGAAAGAGGCGAUCUCAGUUCGGAUUGGGGGCUGCAACCCGCCCCCAUGAAGCCGGAGUUGCUAGUAAUCGCGAAUCAGCACGUCGCGGUGAAUACGUUCCCGGGUCUUGUACACACCGCCCGUCACACCACGGAAGUUGGGGGCACCCGAAGCCAGUGAGCUAACCGCAAGGAGGCAGCUGUCUAAGGUGAAAUCAAUGACUGGGGUG